UCGCCUCUGGAGCUCCUCUCGGACCUCCAUCAUCGCCGUGGCCGCCGUCUCUGUCCACCUCAAAUCCGGCGACCUCGCGUUUUUUCCCUCGGCUCCUCCACCACCUAUGCUUUCCCUGGAGUCCGGCGAGUCUUCCCGUUGCCUCACCCACCCGUUUUCCUCACCGGAACACCCUGCUCACCGGCGGCCGAAGCCCACCUCCGCCGCGAGCCCUGCUGCUCCUAUCCGUAUUCUCCCCGCUGGCAACAAAGGCCACCACCGGAUGCGCCGCUCUCUCCUGAGCAUUUCGGUAGGUCGCACGCCCCAAGCGGUGGUCGGACGCGCCGGCGAGCGCCCUCGAGGCGAGCCUCUCCCUCGGCUCGUCGCGCCCCCGAGCAUAGGAAGAAGGAGGGGUUGACCCUGCCAGGCGGGCCCCGCACCGUUUCCCCGACCCCACCUGGCAGCGACCCAGGCGCCCGGCCCCGCCGCUGCCGCGUUGACCCGGUCCUGCCAGCGUGGAUGAGUGGCGGCGCUCCGCUGCGAAGCCGUUUCCUCGCGCUAGAGGCGUAUUCCAUUUUGUAGGUCGUGCCCAGAUUGUUCGCUUGUUCCGUCGCGCUAGGUCGUAAUCUUGCCAGUCCUGUGAGUUAUGGAGCCCAUCCAGAGUUAUUAUACUGCCAAACCAAGACUUCCGCCGCCAUUUAAAUAGACUUCCGUUGUCAUCCGUAUAGCCUUAGGGCUAUGCCAGAUAAUUGUAUUCAUCAAUGAUCUAAUCAUAUACACAUGUAUUUGAUGAAUAUUAUUGUACCUGAAAUGCUGUAUCAUGGACC